UUCCGGUUGAUCUUGCCGGACCCGACUGCUAUCAGAGUGGGACUAAGCCAUGCGAGUCAACGUAGCAAUACGUGGCAUACGGCUCAGUAACACGUAGUCAACAUGCCCAGGGGACGAGAAUAACCUCGGGAAACUGAGGAUAAACCUCGAUAGGCCAUGAUUUCUGGAAUGAUUCUUGGCUCAAACCUAUAUGGCCCCUGGAUUGGACUGCGGCCGAUCAGGCUGUUGGUGAGGUAAUGGCCCACCAAACCUAUUACCGGUACGGGCUCUGAGAGGAGGAGCCCGGAGAUGGGCACUGAGACAAGGGCCCAGGCCCUAUGGGGCGCAGCAGGCGCGAAACCUCUGCAAUAGGCGAAAGCUUGACAGGGUUACUCUGAGUGAUUUCCGCUAAGGGAAUCUUUUGGCACCUCUAAAAAUGGUGCAGAAUAAGGGGUGGGCAAGUCUGGUGUCAGCCGCCGCGGUAAUACCAGCACCCCGAGUGGUCGGGACGAUUAUUGGGCCUAAAGCAUCCGUAGCCGGUCCUGCAAGUCUUCCGUUAAAUCCAGCUGCUCAACAGAUGGGCUGCGGAAGAUACUACAGGGCUAGGAGGCGGGAGAGGCAAGCGGUACUUUAUGGGUAGGGGUAAAAUCCGCUGAUCCAUAGAAGACCACCAGUGGCGAAGGCGGCUUGCCAGAACGCGCUCGACGGUGAGGGAUGAAAGCUGGGGGAGCAAACCGGAUUAGAUACCCGGGUAGUCCCAGCUGUAAACGAUGCAGACUCGGUGAUGGGUUGGCCUCGCGCCUGCCCAGUGCCGCAGGGAAGCCGUUAAGUCUGCCGCCUGGGGAGUACGGUCGCAAGACUGAAACUUUAAGGAAUUGGCGGGGGAGCA
rnacentral:rRNA from 1 species